UGGGGAAUAUUGGGCAAUGGGCGAAAGCCUGACCCAGCAAUGCCGUGUGGGCGAUGAAGUCCUUCGGGAUGUAAAGCCCUUUUAUGAGGGAAGAAAGAUAUGCAGGCUAAUACCUUGCAUGUUUGACGGUACUUCAUGAAUAAGCCCCGGCUAACUCCGUGCCAGCAGCCGCGGUAAUACGGAGGGGGCAAGCGUUGUUCGGAAUCACUGGGCGUAAAGGGCGCGUAGGCGGUUAUGCUAGUCAGGUGUGAAAUCCCCAGGCUUAACUUGGGAACUGCGCUUGAAACUGCAUAGCUUGAGGCCGGGAGAGGAAAGUGGAAUUCCUGGUGUAGCGGUGAAAUGCGUAGAUAUCAGGAGGAACACCGGUGGCGAAGGCGGCUUUCUGGACCGGUUCUGACGCUGAAGCGCGAAAGCGUGGGGAGCAAACG
rnacentral:rRNA from 1 species